rnacentral:lncRNA from 1 species
CUAUCGAGAACAGAGUAUAAACGAGAAGGGAGCAAGCAUAAAAAGGAAAAAUAAAACAAAGCAUCCAAUGAACGGGUGGGAAGAAUCAGAAGAAAACGAGAUCCGAGAAUGUGACUCAGACACACAUAGGAAAGCUAUGAAGAAUUAAAUCACUCUCAAUCAAGUAGCAUAUGAAGAACAAAGCAUGGUUCAUUCAUAUUACAAUCACCAUAAUACUAGUGAAAUCAACCACAAUAAAUAUAUAGUCUAGUACGCGUACCUGAAAAAAAACUUCCCUUCCAACGAGACUUAUGUAUCCAGAUUCUCUACUUCAUCUUCCCCCUCUGUAGCCUCCUUUCCCCAGAUAAAAAUCUCUCUCUGUUCUCCUUUUUU